GAUCAUGGCUCAGGAUGAACGCUAGCGGCAGGCUUAAUACAUGCAAGUCGUGGGGCAGCAGGUUUGUAGCAAUACAGAUGCUGGCGACCGGCAAACGGGUGCGGAACACGUACAGAACCUUCCUUUGAGCGGGGAAUAGCCCAGAGAAAUUUGGAUUAAUACCCCAUAGUAUAAUGAAGUGGCAUCACUUUAUUAUUAAAGAUUUAUCACUCGAAGAUGGCUGUGCGGCUGAUUAGGUAGUUGGCGGGGUAAAGGCCCACCAAGCCUGCGAUCAGUAACUGGUGUGAGAGCACGACCAGUCACACGGGCACUGAGACACGGGCCCGACUCCUACGGGAGGCAGCAGUAAGGAAUAUUGGUCAAUGGAGGCAACUCUGAACCAGCCAUGCCGCGUGGAGGAUAGAAGGUCCUCUGGAUUGUAAACUUCUUUUAUAUGGGACGAAAAAAGGCUUUUCUAAGUCGUCUGACGGUACCAUAUGAAUAAGCACCGGCUAACUCCGUG
rnacentral:rRNA from 1 species